rnacentral:lncRNA from 1 species
CAGAGUGGUAUUAUAUUACUGUAGUACAAUCUGUGAAUCCAAAUUUCCCCACGAACUUUGCAUCUUUUCAAAGUUAAAAUUUUAGGUUUCAGGGGCUGCCUGAUUUGUGUUUCACUCUAUUUCAAGAGGCUAAUUCAGAUCUAUCAUCUCCUCUCCCCAUUGUAUUCUGCCUCCAAUCUUCGCUGUUCUGGCUCUCUGAAGAAUCAUUUACAUAUGCCUACUUUUGAAACAGGCAAAUGCUCUUGAAACAAGAUUGGAAUAGAUGCUAAGUCCAUUUUCUUUCUAGUGGAAUAUUAUGUUCCGGCAACUAAAGCCCCUAGAGAACAUGCUGAUCGCGAACAAACGAGAGACUAGAAAAAUGAUGCUUUUCUUUACUCCCCC